CCGGGGCUUCCGUAGCUUCUGCCGUAUAUCCCACACAGUCGGUGUUUGCCUGCUGUGGAAGCAGAGUGCAUGAAGACAAUUCAGCAGAGGACAGUCACAUUAUUCCUUUCUUCUGCAGAAUAAAGCGUGAAGAAAACUCCACUGGACUACCUACUUCUGUGAUCCUGACAACACACACAUACACAUCGGUUACACAUACACAAAUCUGUCCUCUAAAUUGUAAAAAAAAAAAAAAAAAAAAAUCAUUAUUAUUGAUAAGCAAUCAUCCUUUUUUUACUUUUGAACGAUGACUAGAAAGCUUAGAGUGUAAAAAUCCAAAUAAAACACACACACACAGUCACGGGUGCAUUAGGGCAUGGCACAGUGAAUGGAAACAAAAUGCCGUCAAAUCUCCAGUUGUCGCAACUCUUCAAUACAGGAACUCUACAGGAAACUAGUGUUACCAGUAGCCUAUCAGUGAUCAGUGUUAAACUAAUCACUGAUAGGCUACUGGUUCCCUUGAGAACGUAUACAGAGAGCGCUACCGUAACUGCACGGCUUCGUCCGGUAGCAUCAUUAAAACGCUGCGGUUCAUAUAACCUAUCAAUAGACCCUUUUCACUGACGUCACACUUCCGGGUUGGUAAGUAGCUUAGUGCCAUUUUGAGUGGUGAGCUUUGUUGAGUCCGUGACUGGAGUUUAUCAUUUAGCCUAGUAUUUGUUGGCUAUGGCUGCCACUCAGCUGAAAAAGUAUAUCGACACACUUGAUAGCACUUCGAAAGACCGAUAUCAGAGGAAGUUGGAGUUAAUUGAUGGAAUCGAUCCUUAUGAAGUUACACAGAAGGACUGGACAAGCACCCACAGCGGCCUGCCCGAAGUGACCUACUGCGACAUCGUGAACUACCUUGUUUAGACACAGAGUGCAUACAGUAUGGAUCAGAUGAAGGCAUACAAAUGCCUUGAGGCUUACAACCAGUUCGUUUGUGGUUGGGUGAGCGAUGUUGUUCAUCUCAAGGCUGGUGACCUGGUUGUUAUCAGUGCUAAGGUAAGCCCCAGUUUCACCUACCACCCCACCUCCACCCACCGAGCAUUUUUCGGUCUAAAAGACGUCUAUACGACGUCUAGAUGUUCCUUAGACGUCUAGUCUAAAAUCGGUAAAUCAGAGGUCUAAAAGUGAAAGUUUUUUAGACGUCUAAAUUUUAGACGUUUAUCCAACGUUCAAGCUUAUACCGAAUAUAAACCCAGGUAUACACUUAGACGUUUAUUAGACGUCUAAACAAUGUGUAUUUAUAGACAUUCAGAUGUUGAAAUCCCGUACAGCAGACGUCUAAAUUUAGACGUCUAAAUUUUAGACGUUCAUCUGACGUUCAUGCUUAUACCAAAUAGAAACCCAGGUAUACACUAAGACGUUUAUUAGACGUCUAUUAGCGGUCUAGUCUAAAUAACUUUCAUUUUUAGACCUCUGGUAUACCUAUUUUAGACUACACGUCUAAUAGACGUCUAUUAGCCGUCUGUUACACCUAAAAAAAGUCAGUGGUUUCCUAUCAAUACUGUAAUAAACUGACAAUCAUUAAUGCAUAUUUUCCCCAAAUUCGAAUAAAUUAAUUAGAAUUUGGCAAUUUCUAAAAAAUAUUCACAAUAAAAAUGUAAAAAAAAAGUACUGUAGACAAAAAUCUCUCUCACAAAAAAAAGCCUAAAUGAGAAAUUACCUGCAAUUCUUACCUUGAUGUACUCUCAGGAUGUCCCGACUAUUUCGCCAAUGUGUCUCUUUCUGGACCUUCAUGACAUUUUUAAUCUAAUGUCAUGCUUUUUCAUAAUUUAACACUAAUCUACAUUUGUCAUCAGUAGACUGGAAUUGCAAUUACAGUACAUUCAUUCAGAAUACAACCAUUACAAUCAUGGACUUGGCAUAAUUUUUCUUUAAUGUUACACAAAUAGAACAUAAAUUUAAACCUUGAACUUGGAAAAAUUAAAACAAUUCAAAAUAAACUGAACAAAAUAUUACACAUUAUAACAGUGGAAAAAAUAUUUAAAUAUAUAUAUAUAAAUACUUUUAACAACCUUUUAACUGUUUUUAUGAAAUCUGCCUCUCAAUGCGAAAAGGAAAAUAAAAAAAUAGAUUUAAAACGUUUGUUUAAAAAAAAAAAAACACUUGUUUUUAAAGAACUUUGUGGGGCUUUUAGAAAAAAAUUCAGAAGGGGGAAGUUCUGUCUUUCCUGUA